GGCAGGGGGGGGGGGGGCCAAAGGCAGCACUUCCUAUUCAGAUACAAACAGGGUUCACAAUUAACACAUCACCAAUUUUAAUAAACCUGAUGAAAGGCAAGACCACAUAGGCCUUGGAUUCCUGAUGACCAAGUGUUCAUCUCAUACCAUUGGACUAAGAGGUCUGGCCAACUGGAAUUCUGGACUAAGACCAAAGACUAUACUAUGCCUUGGGAAAAAUAAUACCAGCUAAGACUCACGGUGACAGAGGAAUAUUGUGGUCUGGGUUGAUUAAGGAAGACUUCAUACUGGAG